rnacentral:rRNA from 1 species
CCUACGGGUGGCAGCAGUGGGGAAUAUUGCACAAUGGGGGAAACCCUGAUGCAGCGACGCCGCGUGAGGGAAGAAGUAUUUCGGGAUGUAAAGCCCUAUCAGCAGGGAAGAAAAUGACGGUACCUGAUUAAGAAGCCCCGGCUAACUACGUGCCAGCAGCCGCGGUAAGACGUAGGGGGCAAGCGUUAUCCGGAUUUACUGGGGGUAAAGGGAGAGUAGACGGCAGCACAAGUCUGGAGUGAAAUGCCGGGGCUUAACCCCGGAACUGCUGUGGAAACUGUGCAGCUAGAGUGCAGGAGAGGUAAGUGGAAUUCCUGGUGUAGCGGUGAAAUGCGUAGAUAUUAGGAGGAACACCAGUGGCGAAGGCGGCUUACUGGACUGUAACUGACGUUGAGGCUCGAAAGCGUGGGGAGCGAACAGGAUUAGAUACCCUUGUAGUC